ACAGUCACACAUUAGAUACCCGCGUAGUCCCAGCCGUAAACUAUGCGCGUUAGGUGUAUCGGUGACCACGAGUUACCGAGGUGCCGAAGGGAAACCGUGAAACGUGCCGCCUGGGAAGUACGGUCGCAAGGCUGAAACUUAAAGGAAUUGGCGGGGGAGCACCACAACAGGUGGAGCCUGCGGUUUAAUUGGACUCAACGCCGGGAAGCUCACCGGAUAGGACAGCAGAAUGAUUGCCGGGCUGAAGACCCUGCAUGACUAGCUG
rnacentral:rRNA from 1 species